rnacentral:lncRNA from 1 species
UCCAGUGAAAUCACCACCUCCACCUUACUAUUACUCAUCCCCACCACCACCAAAAUCUUACCCUCCACCAUACCACUACUCAUCUCCUCCACCACCACCAAAGUCGUACUCGCCACCAUACUACUACUCAUCACCACCACCUCCUGUGUCGUACCCUCAUCCUCACCCACACCCACACCCACAUCCACUUGUCUUCAAAGUUGUAGGUAAAGUGUAUUGUUACAGAUGUUAUGACUGGACUUACCCCAAAAAGUCCCACGAUAAGAAGCAUCUCAAAGGUACUUAAGUUUUCCACGUGUUCAAUAAUUAAUGUCUUAAUCUUAACAGGUUUAUUAAUUAUUUAGACAGAAUUGUUAUCUUGAUGAUUAUAGGAUGAUUACAGGCUUAAAGGAUUUAAAAAACUAGCAUAUAUGUAUUGUAAAGUGGUAGUUGCAUACUUGCAUUGCAUGUAGUCUAUAUUAUUUAUUAGUGGAGAAACGCAAACGAUAAAGUCAAGAAAAAGACAAGAAUCUGUUAUUGACUUAUACAAUCCAAUGAGAUCGAACAAGCAAAAUCAAUUUAGUAGAUACCCAACUAAAAGGACAUAAACUGAUAUUUAAAAUUUAAAUAAUUUGAUUUUUUUUUGUCAUAUAGGUGCUGUUGUAGAAGUGACUUGUAAGGCCGGUGACAAGAUAGUGAAGGCAUACGGAAAGACCAAAAUCAACGGUAAAUAUGCAAUCACCGUUAAGGGAUACAACUACCGUAAAUACGGUGGCGAAGUUUGCACGGCCAAGCUUCACGCGCCGCCUAAAGGCUCACCGUGUAACAUUCCUACAAGCUACCAUAUGGGUAACAAAGGUGCAAAGCUUCAUGUGAAAUCAAAGACAAAGUACGAGGUUGUGCUCUAUGCCAAGUCCUUUGCUUAUGCACCUAAGAAACCUUACGGAGAAUGCCACAAACCAGCUCCUUACCAUCCUCCUUACUACUACAAAUCGCCACCACCACCAUCUCCGGUUUACUACUACAAGUCACCACCACCACCGGCUCCAACCUAUGUCUACAAAUCUCCACCACCACCAACUCCGACUUACGUCUACAAGUCGCCGCCUCCUCCAACCCCAACAUAUGUCUACAAAUCGCCUCCUCCUCCUACCCCAACAUACGUAUACAAGUCUCCUCCACCACCAACUCCAACUUACGUAUACAAAUCACCACCACCGCCGACUCCAACUUACGUCUACAAGUCGCCUCCUCCACCUACGCCAACCUAUGUCUAUAAAUCUCCACCGCCACCAACCCCGACUUAUGUUUACAAGUCACCACCACCUCCGACUCCGACAUACAUUUACAAGUCUCCACCACCUCCUACUCCGACUUAUGUCUACAAGUCACCACCUCCACCAACCCCUACAUAUGUCUAUAAGUCACCACCUCCACCCACUCCGACCUACGUCUACAAGUCACCACCACCUCCAACUCACACUCCUACACCAUACUACUACCAUUCUCCACCACCACCAUACUACUAUCAUUCACCACCUCCUCUGGUGAAGUCUCCUCCACCACCAUACUAUUACCAUUCACCACCACCUCCAGUAAAAUCUCCUCCCCCCCCAUACUACUAUCACUCCCCACCUCCUCCAGUGAAGUCUCCUCCGCCACCUUACUAUUAUCACUCCCCACCUCCUCCAGUAAAAUCACCACCACCACCAUAUUAUUACCACUCUCCACCUCCUCCCGUGAAAUCCCCCCCACCUCCAUACUACUACCACUCACCACCCCCUCCGGUAAAAUCACCCCCACCACCAUAUUACUAUCACUCCCCACCUCCACCAGUGAAAUCCCCACCACCACCGUACUACUACCAUUCUCCACCCCCACCGGUAAAAUCUCCGCCACCACCAUACUAUUACCACUCCCCACCUCCUCCGGUGAAAUCUCUACCACCACCGUACUAUUACCAUUCACCACCUCCUCCGGUGAAAUCUCCUCCUCCACCAUACUACUAUCACUCACCUCCUCCACCAGUAAAAUCUCCUCCGCCACCGUACUAUUACCACUCUCCACCUCCUCCAGUGAAGUCACCUCCACCUCCUUAUUACUACCACUCACCUCCUCCUCCGGUGAAAUCCCCACCACCACCAUAUUAUUACCACUCACCACCCCCACCCGUCAAAUCUCCUCCACCUCCAUAUUAUUACCACUCACCACCUCCUCCGGUGAAAUCUCCACCACCACCAUAUUAUUACCACUCACCUCCUCCUCCGGUGAAAUCUCCACCACCACCAUAUUACUACCAUUCACCUCCCCCUCCAGUCAAAUCUCCACCACCACCAUAUUACUACCAUUCACCUCCCCCUCCAGUGAAAUCCCCACCACCACCAUAUUACUACCAUUCACCUCCUCCUCCAGUGAAAUCUCCACCACCACCAUACUACUACAACUCUCCACCACCACCAGUAAAAUCUCCCCCACCUCCCGUCUACAUCUACGCUUCUCCCCCACCUCCUACCCAUUACUAGGCUCGUCAAAUUCAACCAAGUUUCCCC